rnacentral:rRNA from 1 species
AGAAUGAACGUUGGCGGCGUGGAUUAGGCAUGCAAGUCGCGCGCCCCGCAAGGGGAGCGGCGCAAGGGUGAGUAAUGCGACGGUAACCAACCCCACAAAUGGGCAUAGCCGCGGGAAACUGCGGGUAAUUCCCAGCGAUGUUAGAGAAGGGCAUCCUUUUUUAACCAAAGUUCCGGCGUUGUGGGACGGGCCGUUGUGGUAUUAGCUAGUUGGCGGGGUGAUGGCCCACCAAGGCUACGAUGCCUACCGGGCGUGCGAGCGUGGCCCGGCACACUGGAACUGAGACACUGUCCAGACUCCUACGGGAGGCUGCAGUCGAGAAUCUUCGGCAAUGGGCGCAAGCCUGACCGAGCGACGCCGCGUGGAGGACGAAGGCCUUCGGGUUGUAAACUCCUGUCGAGGGGGAGAAGUCGCAAGAUUGACCGAUCCCGUGGAGGAAGCGACGGGCUAAGUUCGCGCCAGCAGCCGC